ACAUAACUGAUGCCUCCGCGUAUCGACUUUGUGCGCAUUUUAGCUAUUAUGUGUUCUUUUAAUUAAAAUGAUUCUUUUUAAGAUUCAUCUAUUAAAAAUUUGCUUCGGCAUAAUUUUUUUUGAUGAUCUUGUUACUUUGAGUAAAUUAGAGUGUUCAAAGCAAACAGAUAUAGCAUUUGUGCGUUUGAAUACUACAGCAUGGAAUAACAAAAUUGAACAAGUCAGAAUUUUUUUGUUCUUUUUUCUUAUUUUGGCUUAGUUACGAUUAAUAGGAGUAGCUUGGGGGCAUUUGUAUUCAGAUGUCAGAGGUGAAAUUCUUAGAUUUUCUGGAGACAAACAACUGCGAAAGCAUUUGCCUAAAAUACUUCCAUUAAUCAAGAACGAAAGUUAAGGGAGUGAAGACGAUCAGAUACCGUCGUAAUCUUAACCAUAAACUAUGCCGACUAGGCUUUGGAUGAAAGAUUUUAAAAUAAGAGUUUUUCUUUUCUCUCCGGAGAUUAGAACUCUUAGAUUGCUUCCUUCAGUGCCUUAUGAGAAAUCAAAGUCUUUGGGUUCUGGGGCGAGUAUUCGCGCAAGCGAGAAAGUUAAAAGAAUUGACGGAAGGGCACCACCAGGCGUGGAGCUUGCGGCUUAAUUUGACUCAACACGGGAAAACUCACUAGUUUAAGACAAGAGUAGGAUUGACAGAUUAAUAGCUCUUUCUUGAUUUCUUGGAUGGUGAUGCAUGGCCGUUUUUAGUUCGUGAAUAUGAUUUGUCUGGUUAAUUCCGAUAACGAACGAGAUCUUAACCUGCUAAUUAGCGGCAAAUACGAUAUAUUCUUAUGUAGAAUUGAAUAUAGUGGAUUUGUUAGAUUUUGAAGAAAAUAUUGGAAUUACGUUAAAUGUGAUUCCUUUCCCUUUUCUACUUAAUUUACAUUUCCAUCUAUUUCUUUUUUGCGUAUGAAUGUAUUUGCUUGAUUGUAAGCUUCUUAGAGGAACGAUGUGUG
rnacentral:rRNA from 1 species